AACGAACGCUGGCGGCAGGCCUAACACAUGCAAGUCGAACGCCCUAGCAAUAGGGAGUGGCGCACGGGUGCGUAACGCGUGGGAAUAUGCCCUUCACUGCGGAAUAACGUUUGGAAACGAACGCUAAUACCGCAUAAUGACUCCGGUCCAAAGAUUUAUCGGUGAAGGAUUAGCCCGCGUUAGAUUAGCUAGUUGGUGAGGUAAUGGCUCACCAAGGCGACGAUCUAUAGCUGGUCUGAGAGGAUGAUCAGCCACACUGGGACUGAGACACGGCCCAGACUCCUACGGGAGGCAGCAGUGAGGAAUAUUGGACAAUGGGCGCAACCCUGAUCCAGCCAUGCCGCGUGAGUGAUGAAGGCCUCGGUGUAAGCUCUUUGUCGGGACGAUGAUGACGGUACCCGCAGAAUAAGCCCCGGCUAACUUCGUGCCAGCAGCCGCGGUAAU
rnacentral:rRNA from 1 species